rnacentral:lncRNA from 10 species
UGAGGACAAAGGAGAAGCUGGCAGUCUGCAGCCCAGAAAAGGGUUCUUACUGGAAAUGACCAUGCUGGCACCUUGAUCUCAUACUUCUAGUCUCCAAAACUGUGAGAAGUAAAAUUUUCUUACUUAUAAGCCACCCAGUGUAUGAUACUUUGUAAUGGCAAGCUGAACUGACUAAGGUACUAUAGCCAAAGUGAAUGUGAUUUUUGACGCUUGUGUUCUUGAUCUGUUGGCUGCGGCAGGAGUGUGGACAGAGGCUCAUCUUUAAUGCCUCUGAAGCAGGCUUGGCUUCUCUCUUCCAUGUUGUCCCAUGGCACUUUGUACAUAGAGUGAUGUCACUCAUAUGUACACACUCAUUUUUCUCAGAACGCAGAAAUAUAUGGAGGUCUGAGGUUGAAUCUCAUAUGACUUCCUAAAGAAGGUCUGUCCUUUAUAGUUGCUUUACUCAUUACUGCUAAGGAACUUUUUACAUUUCUUGAUAUCCCCUGUCAUUUUUGUUUUGUUUUGGCGUUGGGGGAAAGCAGAUGUAGGAUUGAACAGGGAAGGCGGAAGCAAGAAGAUGAGGAUGGCCACUCUCAUUUGCUUCAGUUGACUGUUUUCAAUUCCUAUUGUUAGAGAAGUGAGUGUGAAAGAACUGGCUAUUCAAGAGAGUGUUGGAGAUUCUGGCAAGCAGAGAUUCUUCGGAGCCCAGGUGGAAAGUGAAGCGCUGAGUUGGGGAGAAAUGCUCAUGCCUUCUGCAGACUACUGAGGAGGAAGCAACAGCAGCUGUGCAUUGGGCCCACAGAAAGAAUGGUUGAAGACUGCAGUGUAUUUUGAGUUUCUGCUUUGGAGGGGAGGGUUGGUCCUGAUGCCCACAGACGAAUGGCCUCCUGGUUCCAAUCAAGGCCAGCCCAAAAGUCUGCUUCUGGAACCCAAACCUAAGGGACUCAGCUAUGUUUGUGUUGACCUACUAUCAAUAAAGAAGAUCCUUAUUUAAGAACAGGCCACCUUCUGUUUUACACAUAUACUUUCUGACCCUAGAAAUUGUUCAGAAGGUGGAAUGUUUUGCUGUUUCAAUGAGAUCACAUGUGUAAAGGCUCUUUGUACACUGCAGGAGCUAUAGAAAUGUGAGUUAUGAUUGCUCAAAUUUCAUUCCCUUUGCUCUAAUUUUGAGUUAGGGGAGAGAAAGCCGGCCUGUAAAGUACAUAUCACAGUUUCUCUUUCUCAGCUUUCAACUGCAUGGGAGUUUGUAUUUCUGUUUCUACUACUCCAUUUCCUCUGCUGAUACCCUGCCAGGGAGGUGAAUGUAUCAAGUCAGGAAGUAGACUUCUCAGAAUAAAGAAUGCAGAAUUAGAAUGUUUAGUGCACCCAAGGUUAGGUGUAGAGUGUGUCAUAUGAAAGUAAUAGGUAUACUUUUUUCAUAGCAUUUAAUAUGCCUUUAUCCUUAAAUUUUUAAUAGGUUUUGAUAUAUCAAAGUAUAUAAAAGUAUACACUUUAUUAUAAUUGUCAACUGUAUUUUUGUAGUUUUCUUCUCUCACUUUUCAGAGAGGGGAGAAUUUAGCCCUUACUGUGAAAACAAAUACACAAGGAAGAAACAAGCUUAUUACAAACAAGAAUGUUCCUCUAUUACAUGUACUGAUCUAAAAACCUUAGUCUAGUUACUCCUCCUGAAGCUCAUGUUUAAUAUUUGGAAUAGAAAAUACUUUUCUAUUAAAAAAUCCAGAAGAAAUUAAGAUAUUGAUUUUUCCCCAUAAGAUCUCUGUUGUGGUGACUGCAGUGACUGUAAUAUCUUCUGUCGUUGCAUUUGUAAUGGCUUCAUCAAGAAUGAGAUUGCCUCCCAAAGGGUGGGUUAGAAGUUUCCCAUCUGCAGGCAUUGCUUGGCCAGCAUCUAUCCUCUAUUUCCACAACCCACCAUGUUUUUUGGAAUAAUAUGGGUGCUCUUAGUAACUCAUGCAAGGGUGGUCAUUUUGCUUCUGUAUGAUAUUGAUUCUAUAACUUGCAACCAGUGGCAGAGCUCAGUGGAGGACUUUCCACCUUCCACCCACCCUGCUCUUUUCUGGCCACAGCCAAGAGCUCCAGAUUACAGAGAUUCUGACUGGUGAAUUUGGAAGUAAUCACUUCAUUUCCCAGGAGGUCCAAUUCAGGAUAUACCUCUAGUUUAGAGUUGGUUGCGAGAGUUAUGCAAACCAACAAUAAAACUGGGAGACUCCAGACGCCAUUGCCCUCAAGGCCUUGGGCACAGCCCAGGGAGUGCCUGGCUGUGUGGACUUGGAGCCAAGGGCCCUGGGACUGCAUGCGACACCACUACUCAACACACAAGAGAUUCCCAGCUUAGCACAAAAUAGGUUUUUGUUUGAUUCCUUCCCAGUGUUUACCUAAUUUAAACUCUGUACUCUAAUUUGAACAAUUGUUAUGUUUGCUCUCAAUAAAUCAAAAUGAGAUGUUCUGAAUAAUCCAUUUGGUACCAAUGGAAAAAAAAACCCACUGUUGAAAUGUAUGAUUGUUAUUUUGGUGAAAACAUGAAGAAUAAAAU